AAUCAACGCUGGCGGCGUGCCUCAGACAUGCAAGUCGAACGAGAACCUCCCUUCGGGGAGGGACGAGUGGCGCACGGGUGAGUAACACGUGGGUAAUUUACCUUUGGGUGGGGAACGAACAGCCGGAAACGGCUGCUAAUACCGCAUAAUGCAGCGGCUCGACAUCGAGACAGUUGUUAAAGCGGGGGAUCGCAAGACCUCGCGCCUGAAGAGAAGCCUGCGGCGGAUUAGCAGUUGGUAGGGUAAGUGGCCUACCAAGGCGACGAUCUGUAACCGGCCUGAGAGGGCGGUCGGGUCACACUGACACUGACAUACGGGUC
rnacentral:rRNA from 1 species